rnacentral:lncRNA from 1 species
AUGGGGAUGGCUGCUGAGGUCAUUUCAGCUAUUUCAUCAGCUGUCUUGGUGAAAAAGGGGCUCCGUGCUGAGUACCAAAGAUGGAAUGGGAAUGUUCCUUCACUGCCAGUAAACUUGUUCAGCUUCCCAGUUUGCACAGUUGUGAAACGUCACCUUGCACUGUGUCCACUCGUGUGUGAAGGGAAGCGUGGAGCAGAAGUGUGGGUUGCCCAGACACAAGCAGGCAAAGUGAAGAGUUCCCCUUCUGCAGCCCCAUGUGCUGCUGCAGUGUGGUGUAAUGCUGAGGCACAGCCAUUUGCAGGCAUCUCCGAGCUUUUUUUUUUUUUGGCUCUGUCUCUGUGGAGCUUUCAUAUGGCUGUUGCCCUCCCUCCUUCAUGUGGGACUGUGGGCUCUCCUAAGCUUUUUGUUCCAGCUGGUCAGCUAGCAGCUGUCACUUGCUGGGGAUAGCAGACUGGUGGAUUGAAGCCCCCAGCUGUGGACCCUGCCGUGGCUCCCUGUGGUACAGAGCUGGGAGGCUCAGCACUGCUCUGCAGCCCCUCUUGGCCACCUGGCUCCAGCUCCACCAGCAUGCCUGCAGGCUGGGGCCAUCCUUGUUACUCCAGGAGUACAUCAGCAUUUGCUCAGGACUGUAGAAGAGCUGGAGAGUGAGAGAGUGACAUCAGUAAUUCAUGAAUUAUCCUCCUGAGAAACAUUAUCCUUCC